rnacentral:rRNA from 1 species
GACAGAGGGUGCAAACGUUUGUUCGGAAUUACUGGGGCGUAAAGCGCGCGUAGGCGGCUUGGCAAGUCGGAUGUGAAAUCCCUCGGCUCAACCAAGGAAGUGCAUCCGAAACUGCCGAGCUUGAGUACUUAAGAGGAUCGCGGAAUUCCCGGUGUAGAGGUGAAAUUCGUAGAUAUCGGGAGGAACACCGGUGGCGAAGGCGGCCAUCUGGACGGAUACUGACGCUGAGACGCGAAAAGCGUGGGUAGCAAACAGG